rnacentral:rRNA from 1 species
GGAGAAUUGAGGGGGGCUGCUCCUAGUACGAGAGGACCGGAGUGGACGCAUCACUGGUGUUCGGGUUGUCAUGCCAAUGGCAUUGCCCGGUAGCUAAAUGCGGAAGAGAUAAGUGCUGAAAGCAUCUAAGCACGAAACUUGCCCCGAGAUGAGUUCUCCCUGACCCUUUAAGGGUCCUGAAGGAACGUUGAAGACGACGACGUUGAUAGGUCGGGUGUGUAAGCGUAGCGAUACGUUGAGCUAACCGAUACUAAUGAACCGUGAGGCUUAACCUUACAACGCCGAAG